GCCCAUGACAGGGAUUUGAGCGUGGGGGGAGGGGGUGAGCAGUGGAUGAUUGGACGAUAGGUAGACGGUCUUAUAUUGGGCUGUUCUCUCGUCAAAUUGACCGUCAUAAAAGCGCAGUUGUGAGACCAAGUCCUGUAGAGCUCUUCAGUUUGUGUAGCGGAAAAAGCGAGUUCACCCAACAGCGUCGCGUCGAGAGAAGAAAAGAAGUUGUAAAGAUUUUUUGAGACGGUUGUAGGAUUUCUUCUGAAUAUCGCGUUCUCAGGGUGUAAGAAAUAAAUAACCAAGGUCAACCACCGAACAUGACGUCACACAAGCCCAUGACCUGCCUGGCCCUGCUCGCCCUUCUGUCCGUCUGCCACGCCCUGCACGUCUUCCCCAAAGCACCGGAACAGCCCUGCCCCACCUGCGACACCGACGCCCUCCCCGUCCAUGUUCUGUACAACCGCUACAACAACGUCUGCAAAGAGUGUGGGGCGCUUUACGGAGGCGGCGUGGAACACUGUUGUGUGUGCUACGAGGAAUUCACACAGAAAUGCCGGGAGAAUCUCAACUUGAAUUAAACCGGAGGCGUGGAAUAGGGCUUGUAAGUAGGUCACAACUUCUCAUCCUCGUACUUGCCAGCUAGUGGAUUUCGAGACCGUUGACUUACAAGCCCUAUUGUUACGAGGAGUUCACACAGAAAUGCCGUGAGAAUCUCAGCCUGAAAUAAAAAACCAUGAACACAAACACUGCCAAAUAUGAUAGGGUUCAAACACGUAUUCAAAACAGAGCUGUAUUUUCCUUUUUGUUCAUUUAAAUUCAAAAAGACUUCUUAAUGGAAAAAUAAAAUUAAAACAAAUGUUUCAGGUCAUGUUUGUGAAAUACAAAUUUUAAAAUCUGUUUGGAAAUUAAAAUUUCAAAAAUGAA